rnacentral:rRNA from 1 species
UUACCGCCUUGACAUGACAGAGAUUCCGCAAGGCACAGGUGCUGCAUGGCUGUCGUCAGCUCGUGUCGUGAGAUGUUGGGUUAAGUCCCGCAACGAGCGCAACCCCGCCUUAGUUGCCAGCAUUUGGGACUCUAGGGAACUGCCGGUGACAACCGGAGGAAGGUGGGGAUGACGUCAAGUCCUCAUGGCCCUUAUGGCGGGCUACACACGUGCUACAAUGGGUGACAUGGGGCAUCGCGAGGCGAGCGACCCUGAAAGCGUCUCAGUUCAGAUCGCAUCCUGCAACUCGGAUGCGUGAAGGUGGAAUCGCUAGUAAUCGCGAUCAGCAUGCGCGGUGAAUACGUUCCCGGGCCUUGUACACACCGCCCGUCACACCAUGGGAGUUGGUUACCUAA